rnacentral:rRNA from 1 species
UAAGGUGGUUAUAGCAACGAGGCUCACCUCUUCCCAUUCCGAACAGAGAAGUUAAGCUCGUUAGCGCAGAUGGUACUGCUAUUUUGUGGGAGAGUAUGUCGCCGCCUUUU